UUUCUUAUAUUAACUUAUGAGUUGUAUUUCUUACUCCAUGGGUGAUGACAUUAAGCUGAUCAGAAUACAGUCAUUGGAUGGCCACUAAGAUGCUUUUCAGGUGUCCCACACAAAUCAGUGUGUAAGCAAGGAGAACACCUUCACCUACUGAAGAUUCACGAAGAUGGGUCAGACUACCGUCCUAGAGAAGGUGCCAUAAGGAGCAGAGGUUUCUCCACAAAGGAAUGACACGUAAACUGAACAAGUCGUAAAGGCUCAGAUUGACCCACUGAACUGUGCUCACAUGCAGAGCUCAACCACAGGUAGAAACCCUGGAGACAUUCAUCCACCUGCCAAACUCAAGCGACACACACAUGCUGAGACUGAGUGUUCUGCAGAUGUUUACAGCCCUCAGAAGGUUUCUAAAGCUGCUUACAUCACAAAUACAAUUUUGAGAUAACAUCUCGAAGAUAAACAAUCAUCUAACAGUGACCCCAUUGGAUUCAUCUGAAUGUGACCCAUUGGGGGUCAAACGGAGGAACUGUAAGGACGAAAGACGAAAGAUACUUUGAUCUCCUGAGAAACAGACAAUACAAACAUACACGAGCAUCUUCGAGACACCCCACAGAGUGGAGGAGCAGGAGACCUCCUCCCCUUCUGGCCAUUUGUUUCAUUAUAAAUCCCUUCACCCAUUCUUCCUUCUACUCAGUCUGCUCAAAAUGAUUACAUGAAAAUGUCAAUGCAAGUGAACUAAUACUCAUGUCUAGUAUUAUUGGAAAUGUCUCAGUGCAACUGGUACAAUGGUCUCACUCUCACAAAAGUAGAUUAGAAGAUAAUACAGAUGUGAAGAGUCAAGAGAUAUCUUGAUUACUGUAAUGGGAGUGUCCUUUCCUAGGGCCCUCCAUGUAAAUUACCCCCUGUUCCCAUUGAGUUGUAAAACCACCCAGGCUUGGGACCUGAGGUAAUGCAAAUUCCAAUUGUUUAUGUCUUCAUCUCGGGGGAUGUUUGUCUUGGUCUGAGGUAUUUAAAGGAUUGCAGCAAAAGGAUCAGGGCGAUUUCUGUAGCCAGAAAGCCCGUAGUGUGUUGUGUGUCUCUUCACUUCAUACUAUGUAUUUUCUAAGGUCAGGUAUGCAUAUUUUACUUUUAGAUUCAUCUUUGAGAAUUUGAUGUUUUGUAUUGAUAUGAUUUGAUGUGUUUCAAUUGGAUAUGUAAUUGGCAAAAUACAUAUCUACCUGACUGUAAAUAAAUUGUUACAUUUUGAUUCUA